CCAGACUCCUACGGGAGGCAGCAGUAGGGAAUUUUGCGCAAUGGGGGAAACCCUGACGCAGCAACACCGCGUGAAUGUUAAGCCCUUCGGGGUGUAAAGUUCUGUCAAUAGGGACGAAUUUUGACUGUACCUAUAAAGGAAGCACCGGCUAACUCCGUGCCAGCAGCCGCGGUAAUACGGGGGGUGCAAGCGUUGUCCGGAAUCAUUGGGCGUAAAGCGUUCGUAGGCGGUAUGUCAAGUCUGAUGUUAAAGCCCGGGGCUCAACUCCGGUUCGGCAUUGGAUACUGGCAAACUAGAAUGUGGUAGAGGUAAAGGGAAUUCCUGGUGUAGCGGUGAAAUGCGUAGAUAUCAGGAGGAACAUCGGUGGCGAAAGCGCUUUACUGGACCAUUAUUGACGCUGAGGAACGAAAGCCAGGGGAGCAAAUGGGAUUAGAUACCCCAGUA
rnacentral:rRNA from 1 species